rnacentral:rRNA from 1 species
CAGUCGCCGCGGUAAUACGGAGGGUGCAAGCGUUAAUCGGAAUUACUGGGCGUAAAGCGCACGCAGGCGGUUUGUUAAGUCAGAUGUGAAAUCCCCGAGCUUAACUUGGGAACUGCAUUUGAAACUGGCAAGCUAGAGUCUUGUAGAGGGGGGUAGAAUUCCAGGUGUAGCGGUGAAAUGCGUAGGGAUCUGGAGGAAUACCGGUGGCGAAGGCGGCCCCCUGGACAAAGACUGACGCUCAGGUGCGAAAGCGUGGGGAGCAAACAGGAUUAGAUACCCCGGUAGUCCAUGUCUCUUAUAC